rnacentral:rRNA from 1 species
UACGGGGGGGGCAAGCGUUGUUCGGAAUUACUGGGCGUAAAGGGCGCGUAGGCGGCCUUCUAAGUCGAACGUGAAAUCCCCAGGCUCAACCUGGGAACUGCGUCCGAUACUGGCAGGCUUGAAUCCGGGAGAGGGAUGUGGAAUUCCAGGUGUAGCGGUGAAAUGCGUAGAUAUCUGGAGGAACACCGGUGGCGAAGGCGGCAUCCUGGACCGGUAUUGACGCUGAGGCGCGAAAGCUAGGGGAGCAAACGGG